rnacentral:rRNA from 1 species
UGGGGAAUUGUUCACAAUGGGCGCAAGCCUGAUGACGCAACGCCGCGUGGGGGAUGAAGGUCUUCGGAUCGUAAACCCCUGUCGAAUGGGACGAAAGACUCGCGAGUGAAUACUUCGCGAGAGUGACGGUACCGUUAAAGGAAGCCACGGCUAACUCUGUGCCAGCAGCCGCGGUAAUACAGAGGUGGCAAGCGUUGUUCGGAAUUACUGGGCGUAAAGGGCGCGUAGGCGGCCCUCUAAGUCAGACGUGAAAUCCCCCGGCUUAACCUGGGAACUGCGUCUGACACUGGAGGGCUUGAGUAUGGGAGAGGGAUGUAGAAUUCCAGGUGUAGCGGUGAAAUGCGUAGAUAUCUGGAGGAAUACCGGUGGCGGAGGCGGCAUCCUGGACCAUUACUGACGCUGAGGCGCGAAAGCUAGGGGAGCAAACGGGAUUAGAUACCCCAGUAGUCCCUGAGCGGGCUGGCAAGGCGCAU